GACCGCGAACAGCAUGGAGACACGGCACAAUAAAAAGGUGUAAUUAAGCCAUUCAUUAACACUUGCUUCAAGAGGACCACAGACACAAAGGAUGAAUCAGGUACCUGGGCCUUUCAAGACCAUUCUGUGUUGUACCCUGGACAGGAUAUCACUGUAUACUGUGAGUUCAUUACUAAGACACUACAGUAUAAAUGAUGUACUAUCCAGGGUCACAUUCCCCCAUCGGAGCGAGCACUAUACCACACCAGCAGAGGCCUCACAGAGAGGGGCGGUGAAACCGUUACCAUUACUGAGUUUUUAGCAAUGGUAAGGGUUAAACAGCCCCUUCUCCCUCUCAUCUGAACCUGCAGAAGUAGGGAAGUACUCAAGAUGGAUGACACAACUUUAACUGGUCUAAGGAACAAUGCUUCAAUUGGGUCAAAAAUAAACAUCUAAAGCUAUAAA